CGGUUCGUUAGCGUUACUUUAAUGAGGCACUAACCUCACUGUAAUGCUUUCAUUAAUGCUUGUUGCUUGUUGAGUGCCAAGUGCUUGGCUCCUCUCCGACAGCCCGGCUGGGCCACAGAGGGAAUGCUUGAGGGGGCCUUUGAUGCAAAACGCGAGCGCGGUUACACCACAGGCAGGACAAAGGACAGUUGGUGGGAUGAGACAGCCCAAAAUUCACCAGCUGGUGCCUAGAGCAGGCAAAGCAGUGAGACAGCGAGAGCUGGGCAGGCAGCAGGGGACGUGGGACAGAACAAGCAAAGGGAGAGGAGGAGAUGCUGGUUCCACCAGCAGCACCCACACUGUUCCAGUUGACAGCGGUGGGGUCAGGGUGAGGGCCAGGACAAUGAGCAGUGACAAUAUAUCAAGAGGUGCCAUUUGAUGAGAAGGGAUGACAGGGGGUGGUAUACAGGACCCUGGGAGGCACCCACCUACUGCUGCUGCAGAGAUCUCAUGUGCUUUGAGGCCACAGCUGCAUCUCACCUGGAUCUCACUGUAGCCUCCUCGGUCGAACCAACCAACUUCAAAAUGUCUAAGGCAGCUGUACCCCAAAAGCCUCUGCCCUAGAAUGACUGUUGCAGGAUAAUUAUUUUCCAGCUGCUCCUGACACCACCGUGGAGUUGAUCUGCUUCAAAGACAUGCCAGAGAGGAUGGAGUCCCUACUCCAGUCCCUCUGCACUACACGCGGUGUUGCCCAUGACCCCGUUGGGCUGCAGAGGGGAGGAAGAGACUUUGCCCCCCAGCCCUGUCCCCGUGGAGCCCACCUGUGGGGUAAUGCCCAGGCACUCUGAGCACACCUUUCAGAGGCAGACAUGGACAGAAGGACAAGGAUUACCCCAGCAGCUGCUGGGACUCACUCCCCCACACCUCCUGGGAGCUGAGAUUCAAAGCCAAACAUGGAAGAUUCACAGGGUCCUGAUGUACACUUGUCCUGCUAAAGUUUUUUUUCCUGAAAACUGGCCUGAUUCUUGUGAAAAAAAAAAGAGAAUCAAAGAGGAGAAAGAAAAACGAGGGUUUUUUAUCAAGCAAGACUAGUUGGAUGAAGCCAUUUUUAAAGAGGCUGCUAUAGGCAACUGGGAAAUUGGCCAAAUAAAAAGUACUUUUUGACAAAA